UGGGGAAUAUUGGACAAUGGGGGGAACCCUGAUCCAGCCAUGCCGCGUGUGUGAAGAAGGCCCUCGGGUUGUAAAGCACUUUCAGUGAGGAAGAACGCCUGGUGGUUAAUACCCAUCAGGAAAGACAUCACUCACAGAAGAAGCACCGGCUAACUCCGUGCCAGCAGCCGCGGUAAUACGGAGGGUGCGAGCGUUAAUCGGAAUUACUGGGCGUAAAGCGCGCGUAGGUGGCUUGAUAAGCCGGUUGUGAAAGCCCCGGGCUCAACCUGGGAACGGCAUCCGGAACUGUCAAGCUAGAGUGCAGGAGAGGAAGGUAGAAUUCCCGGUGUAGCGGUGAAAUGCGUAGAGAUCGGGAGGAAUACCAGUGGCGAAGGCGGCCUUCUGGACUGACACUGACACUGAGGUGCGAAAGCGUGGGUAGCAAACAGGA
rnacentral:rRNA from 1 species